AGUGGGCUCAGAAGGCAGGACCCACAGAUGACCUCCGCCAUGAUCUGGUCCCCGCUCCUCUUCAGCCUCCUGGCUCACUGCACAGGGUCCUGGGCGCAGGCCGUGCUGACUCAGCCUCCCUCAGUGUCUGGGUCUCCAGGAGAGACAGUCAGCCUCUCCUGCUCUGGAAACAGCAACAAUCUUGGGAGAUAUUCUGCCAGCUGGUACCAGCAGCUCUCAGGAACAGCUCCCAAACUCAUCAUCUAUAGGAAUAGCAAUCGACCCUCUGGGAUCUCUGAUCGGUUCUCUGGCUCCAAGUCUGGCAACUCAGCCUCCCUGACCAUCAGUGGGCUCCAAUCUGAGGACGAGGCUGACUAUUACUGUCUCUCUUAUGAUGACAGCCUCAGUGCUGGCACAGUGCUCCAGCCUCAUGGGGAAGCUAAGACAAAAACUUCCUCUUCUGCCAGAAGAUAA